GGCGCGGGAGGCUGCAGGAGGUGGGCAGGGAGGGGGAGGGGGCGAAAAACUUCACUUCUUAAAGUGGGAACCACCUCCCCGGUUUUGCGGCGCCUGACGCCAUGGCGGGCUGGGGUGGAGCGAAGAGGCCCGACACACCAAUCGCUGGAAAAGAAGAGGCCGGCCGCGGCCCCACCAUUGGUGUGCGGGACACUGGGGACCCGCCUUCCUGUGUGACGUCACUGUCCAGUGCAAAUUUCCAAGCAACCGGACGGGGGCGAGAGGAGACGUUGGGGUGUCCCGGGAAGUUGUACAACCUCCAGGGUGCUGCUGCGGCGCUUGAGGCUGGCUGGGCGGAGGAGGGGGUCUGGUAGUAACUGGAGAGGGUUGUCGAGUUCCCCGGCGGGGACAUGCCCAUUCCCGGGGGUGGAGGGAGAUCAGGAACCACGCGUAAUCUUUUUCCAGAGCCCGGGGUUUUGCAAACAGUGUUGCUCAGCAAGCGUUGGCAUUCCUAAGGCCUGGAGAGUGGACAGUUACUGCGAAUGCCAUUUAUGGAGCAGUUAUGAUAGUCAGGUAGGGGGUGAGGGCACACGUGCGGGCGGAGUGGAGUUCGAGAAUUGGAGACUCACUGCAUGCUAUCAGUGGCUCAUACCUCCUUUUGUGUAGCACAAGGGCAUAUACCGUGGAGGAGACAGAGUCAAGGUCCUGUGCUAGGCUGCUUUGCUGGGAAGUACAUCGUUUAGCUGAAAUUUUUUUCCCUCGCUGGGAACACACAGAGCUAAAUGCGUUCCUCUUCUUAUUCUCACAAAGAAGCUUAAAGCCACCCCGUCCUGGACUGAGCAAGACAUGACUAGUCAUCAGAAUGGAGCUUUUCAGCACCUUCAGCACAUUUUUCUCAGGACUAAUAAGCCUGGGAGGUCUUUAGAGGCCGGUCUCUCACUCAGGUGCUAAGUGGCUCCCAGUAAAAUCUUAGAGCAUUACAUCUACCUGCCUUCUAAGACUCUGGUCUCCGGGUUCUUAAACUCAUCUUGAGCUGACCUCUUAAAGUGUAACACAGGUUGCUUUAUUUCAACCUAAACAGUAUUGUCUUGCUGUAUCUCGGGGAUGGAGGAGAAAUCAGAAAGCAGGGGACCUGUCUAUGGAAGUCUUCUCUGGGAAAGUAGGGCACCUGCACGUCUAAAUGUUCUGGGGCUUAAGACUUGGCACUUCUGAGAUACCAGACACCUUAUCCAGAGAAGCCUUCUGGUCAGGAGAGCUGGGCCUUGAGAUAGGAAAGGGUGGGGGAGAUCCCCAAGAUGCUGCACCCACUCUACCCUCACCCUGCUCCCAAGCGUCAGGUCACAGCAACCCAGGCACCUUCCAGGGAUUCGAGAUACAGUGAUGUGAGCAUUGUCCUUCAAGGCCAAGGGCACCAAUUUCCCAUUUUGGGUAGCGGCCAAUAGAUAUAGUCUUCUAAUGGAUGAGGAGCCUUCUGGACUUUGCAGCGGUGAUAUUGGUGGAAAGAAGCCAUCCUCUGGAUGAUUAAGGGGACUCCUGGCAAAUCCCUGCAGUGUCUGGUCACCAGAUUCAUGGAUGUCAAGAAGCAAUAUGGCAGCAGGAACGGUAGCAACCUCCUGAUCCCUGUACCGUAGCUUCAGCAGAUGGCCUUCCUCGCCUUCCAGGACAUGCCAGAGGACCCCUUGGGAUGCCAGUUUGGGAAUGUGGAUCUGAGAGUUUUUCCUGAAGGCCGAGUCUAGGUUUCAGCUCCAACAAUACUGUAUAUGGUAGCAGGAGGACAUAAUACAGAAGGAACCAUUCCUGGACAUCAGAAUACAGCCACUAGCCCUGGUCCUAGACUUCUGUGCAAGGCUACCAGCUACUAUCACCCAGUGCUUUGGCCACACUGUCAACAAAGAGGGCAUAGGGGCUCAGGAGCAGAGCCGUGAUCCUUUCCUAUAGAGUGAACCUGGAGACUCAAGUUGACUUGGCUCGGUUCCACUGGGGUCUCUAUGUAAAGUUCCUGAAUGUGACAUUCUGAAGAUGUCAUCAUACUGCCAUAGCCCAUCUGGGAGCCAGCCUUCAUUUUGAAAGGGGAGUGGGGAGCUGAAGAGGGUAGAGGGUGAAGAACACUUGACUUGGAGUUAUGGACCUGUUUGAACCCUGGUUCCGCCAUUUACUUGCUAUGUGGUUCCUGCCCAUUGGUUGGCAUACUUCCUCAUUUGUUGGUGAAGGAAGCACAAAAAAUGAGAAAAUAAAAAUCUCGUGGUGAAGCAUAUAUGAUUUGGGAGUACUGAAAGGAAAGAAAAUGGGAAGGAGUUAACAGUACAGAGGGCAGCUUCCCAGGAUGAGCCUCUUACACUGAAGACUUUACAAACCCCUCCCAGAAGUUAACUUCUCAAUCACUGGUGGAAUAGAAGGAAAGAGGGUGUUCUAGACGAAAAAUGGACAGUGUAACUUGGGGCAGCCUUCGCAAAUGGUAAAGCAGGGAAAGGUGUAACUAGGUGUUCUGUGUUCUGUUUAAAAAGGCAGAGAAGUAAAUAAAAAAAUUAUAGAAAUAGUUCUACUCUAAAUCAUUAUAAUGAACAAAAAUGUAAAAGACAUUAAAAGAAUAAGCAAGCCCUCAGCCCUCUGAGAAGACUCAUUCCUGGAAAGUAGCUACGUUUAAGUCUAGUUAAAUAUUUAUUGUCAGUAAGUUGUAAGUCAAGUCCUUGGGGUGUGCUGGGUAAUAGAACGUUGAUGAGUAGAUGGCAAAAGCCAUUUUCUUAGAACCUCUUGACCUAGUCUUGGCUAAAUGAAUCCUAGAACCUUCUUCAAUACUUCCAAACUUUGGGAAAUUACCUAAUUUUCAAAAAAAACCUGCCACCCUUCCCAAACUCAGUGCUGUGUGUGUAUCUAAGUUGGGGGGAAGGAGUUUAUAUUU